rnacentral:rRNA from 1 species
UACGAAGGGGGCGAGCGUUGUUCGGAAUUACUGGGCGUAAAGGGCGCGCAGGCGGCUCUGAAAGUCAGAUGUGAAAGCCCCGGGCUUAACCUGGGAAUUGCAUUUGAUACUCUGGAGCUUGAGUACGGGAGAGGAGAGUGGAAUUCCCAGUGUAGAGGUGAAAUUCGUAGAUAUUGGGAAGAACACCGGUGGCGAAGGCGGCUCACUGGCUCGUUUCUGACGCUCAGGCGCGACAGCGUGGGGAUCAAACAGG